rnacentral:pre_miRNA from 1 species
AAUAAAUCAAUUUUUCGCUUUUUACCUAUAUUUUUUGGCUCUUCGUCUUAUUUAAAAAAAUUUUGUAAUUGAUAUUUUUAUUUUUAUUGGAUGAUAAAUUAUGAAUAAUACUUUACGUGUGACUAAUUUUUUUCUAAUUUUCUAAAAGUUUUUUAAAUAAGACGGAUGGUCAAACGUUGGGACAGGAAAAUCGAUG